UUUCAUUGAGACUUCGGUGGAUUUGAUCUAUUUCUAGUGGCGGACGGGUGAGUAACGCGUGGGUAACCUGCCUUAUACAGGGGGAUAACAGUCAGAAAUGGCUGCUAAUACCGCAUAAGCGCACAGAGCUGCAUGGCUCAGUGUGAAAAACUCCGGUGGUAUAAGAUGGACCCGCGUUGGAUUAGCUUGUUGGUGGGGUAACGGCCCACCAAGGCGACGAUCCAUAGCCGGCCUGAGAGGGUGAACGGCCACAUUGGGACUGAGACACGGCCCAGACUCCUACGGGAGGCAGCAGUGGGGAAUAUUGCACAAUGGGGGAAACCCUGAUGCAGCGACGCCGCGUGAAGGAAGAAGUAUCUCGGUAUGUAAACUUCUAUCAGCAGGGAAGAUAGUGACGGUACCUGACUAAGAAGCCCCGGCUAACUACGUGCCAGCAGCCGCGGUAAUACGUAGGGGGCAAGCGUUAUCCGGAUUUACUGGGUGUAAAGGGAGCGUAGACGGUGUGGCAAGUCUGAUGUGAAAGGCAUGGGCUCAACCUGUGGACUGCAUUGGAAACUGUCAUACUUGAGUGCCGGAGGGGUAAGCGGAAUUCCUAGUGUAGCGGUGAAAUGCGUAGAUAUUAGGAGGAACACCAGUGGCGAAGGCGGCUUACUGG
rnacentral:rRNA from 1 species